UUGCUUCCAGCAGCACAUAUACCAAAAUUGGAGUGAUAGAGAGAACAGCAUGGCCCCUGUGCAAGAAUGAUAUACCCAAUCAUAGCACAUUCUAUUGUUUUU